GGACCCGGCUCACGCUGGGUCC
rnacentral:misc_RNA from 1 species